GACGAACGCUGGCGGCGUGCUUAACACAUGCAAGUCGAACGGAAAGGCCCUGCUUUUGUGGGGUGCUCGAGUGGCGCACGGGUGAGUAACCCGUGAGUAACCUGCCCUUGACUUUGGGAUAACUUCAGGAAACUGGGGCUACUACCGGAUAGGAGCUCCUGCUGCAUGGUGGGGGUUGGACGUUUUCGGCGGUUGGGGAUGUACUCGCGGGUUAUCAGCUUGUUGGUGGGGUAGUGGCUUACCAAGGCGUCGACGGGUAGCCGGCCUGAGAGGGUGAGCGGCGACACAGGGACUGAGGUAAGGCACAGACUGCUACGGGAGGCAGCAGGGGGGAAUAUUGAACCAUGGGCGGAAGGCGUAUGCAGAAACGCCGCGUGCGGGAUGACGGCCUUCGGGUUGUAAACCGCUUGCGCCUGUGACGAAGCGUGAGUGACGGUAAUGGGUAAAGAAGCACCGGCUAACUACGUG
rnacentral:rRNA from 1 species